AUGUCUCUCUCUGUGUCUGUCUCCAUCUCUCUCUCUCUCUCUCUGCCUCCCUUGCUCUCUGUCUGUCCAUCUCUCUUUCCCCCCUCACUGGCUCUGCCUCCCUUUCUGUCUCUCUCCCCAUCUCUCUGUCUCUACCUCUAUCUCUCCCCAUCUCUCACCCUAUCUCUUUCUUUCCCCCUAUGUCUCUGUUUCUGCAUCCCCUUCUAUCUCUCUCCCCAUCUCUCUUCCCCCCAUCUGUCUCUCCCUGUCUCUUUCUCUCUCUCUUCCCCUCAUUUCUGUCUCUGCCACCCUUUCUCUCUCUCCCUACAUCUCUCUCUCUCUUCCCCCAUCUCUGUCUCUCUCUCCAUCUCUCUCCCUCCCCUCAUCUCUGUCUCUGCCUGUCUCCAUCUCUUUCUCUCCUUCCAUCUCUGUCUCUCUCCCCAUCUCUUUCCCUGUCGCUCUCUCUCUCCCCCCAUUUCUGUCUCUCUCCCCCAUCUGUCUCUUUCCGCAUCUCUGUCUCUCUCUCCCCUCUGCAUCUGUCUCCUCACAUCUCUCUUUCUCUCCCCCUGCAUCUCUUUCUCUCUCCCCCCACAUCUUUCUCUCCCCCCCAUCUUUGUCUCUUUUCCUCCUGCAUCUGUCUCUCUCCCCGUCUCUAUUUCUUCCCCAUCUCUGUCUCUCUCUCCCUCCUGCAUCUCUGUCUGUCUCUCUCCCCCCGCAUGUCUGUCUGUCUGUUUCUCUCUCUGCAUCUGUCUGUCUCUCUCUCUCCCCCUGCAUCUGUCUCUCUUUCCCCCCAUAUCUGUCUGUCUCUCCUCUUGCAUCUAUCACUCUCCUCUCACAUCUGUGUCUCUCUCCCUCUCCCCAUCUCUGUCUCUCUCCCCAUCUCUGUAUCUCUCUCCUCUCGCAUCUCUCUCUCCCUCCCUCCUCUCAUUUCUGUCUCUUCCCCCAUCUGUCUCUUUCUCCCCACAUGUCUCCCUCCCUCCCCCAUCUCUCUCCUCCCACAUCUCUCUCUCCCUCCCUCCUCUCAUCUGUCUCUUCCCCCAUCUCUAUCUCUCUCCCCGCAUCUCUGUCUCUCUCCCUCUCCCCAUCUCUNNNNNNNNNNCAUCUCUGUCUCUCUCCCUCCCCCCAUCUCUAUCUCUCUCCCCGCAUCUCUGUCUCUCUCUCCCCACAUCUCUGUCUCUGUCCACCUCUCUCACCAGCUGCUCCCACACCCAGACCACGCCAUCCUCAGCACGGGGGGUCCUGGCUGCAGCCCCAGGAGAGCUCCAGGCACCGCUUGGGUCUCUCAGGGCGCGAGGAGGGGCGCCCAGCUCCGGCGGGGCCAGCCCGGCCCUGGCCAGCCGCCCCCAGGCCUCCAUCCUGAGCUGUCGGGGACACGCGGACACUCGAGGCCAAAGUCCGCACUGCCCAGGUUCCUGCUGCCUACCCACAAUCCCUCCUGCUGCUGGGGGUGCUCGAGGGGCCGCGGCUGCCGCUGCCCCCCCAGCAGCAGCAGGAGGGAUGGAGGGCAGACUCUAG
rnacentral:lncRNA from 1 species